UACGGGGGGGCAAGGCGUUGUUCGGAAUUACUGGGCGUAAAGGGCUCGUAGGUGGCCAACCUAAGUCAGACGUGAAAAUCCCGUCGGCUCAACCGAGGAACUGCGCUUGAAACUACCAGACUCGAGGGGGAUAGAGGAAAGCGGAACGUGAUGGUGGAGCGGUGAAAUGCGUUGAUAUCAGUCAGGAACACCGGUGGCGAAGGCGGCUUCUGGGUCUUACC
rnacentral:rRNA from 1 species